AAAGCAGGACGCAAUUACAGUGCUAACUUUUGUGGUAGUACUGCCAUUAUCCUGCUGAGAGCAUCCUCCUACUGUAGAGUCAUGAGUGCUGUCAUACCCCAUAUGACAUGUACAUGCUCUGUAUUGGAGACAGAU